UAAUGUGCCCUGAACAUCGGGAUAACAGCGGGAAACCGCUGCUAAUACCGAAUAACCCUGCAAUGUCGCAUGACGAAGCAGGCAAAGUUCCGGCGGUUCAGGAUCAGCCCGCGGUGUAUCAGCUUGUUGGUAGGGUAACGGCCUACCAAGGCUUUGACGCAUAGCUGGCGUGAGAGCGCGACCAGCCACACUGGGACUGAGACACGGCCCAG
rnacentral:rRNA from 1 species